rnacentral:rRNA from 1 species
UACAGAGGUCCCAAGCGUUGUUCGGAUUCAUUGGGCGUAAAGGGUGUGUAGGUGGCGCCGUAAGUCGGGUGUGAAAUCUCGGGGCUUAACUCCGAAACUGCAUUCGAUACUGCGGUGCUUGAGGACUGGAGAGGAGACUGGAAUUCAUGGUGUAGCAGUGAAAUGCGUAGAGAUCGUAAGGAAGACCAGUGGCGAAGGCGGGUCUCUGGACAGUUCCUGACGCUGAGGCACGAAGGCCAGGGGAGCAAACGGG